AAACUAGGAUUAGAUACCCUAUUAUUAAAAUUUAAAUUAAAAAUACUAAAAUAGUAGGUAAUUAUUUAUUGAAACUUAAAUAAUUUGGCGGUAUUUUAGUUCAUUUAGAGGAAUCUGUUUAAUAAUUGAUAAUCCCCCAAUAAAUUUACUUAAUUUUUUAUUUUGUAUAUCGUUGUUAAAAAAAUAUUUUUUAAUAAUAAUAAUAUUUAAAAAUUUUGAUUAAAAAUUAAAUCAGAUCAAG
rnacentral:rRNA from 1 species